AUUGAACGCUGGCGGCAGGCCUAACACAUGCAAGUCGAGCGGUAGCACAAGGAGCUUGCUCCUGGGUGACGAGCGGCGGACGGGUGAGUAAUGUCUGGGAAACUGCCCGAUGGAGGGGGAUAACUACUGGAAACGGUAGCUAAUACCGCAUAACGUCUUCGGACCAAAGUGGGGGACCUUCGGGCCUCACACCAUCGGAUGUGCCCAGAUGGGAUUAGCUAGUAGGUGAGGUAAUGGCUCACCUAGGCGACGAUCCCUAGCUGGUCUGAGAGGAUGACCAGCCACACUGGAACUGAGACACGGUCCAGACUCCUACAGGAGGCAGCAGUGGGGAAUAUUGCACAAUGGGCGCAAGCCUGAUGCAGCCAUGCCGCGUGUGUGAAGAAGGCCUUCGGGUUGUAAAGCACUUUCAGCGAGGAGGAAGGGUUCAGUGUUAAUAGCACUGUUCAUUGACGUUACUCGCAGAAGAAGCACCGGCUAACUCCGUGCCAGCAGCCGCGGUAAUACGGAGGGUGCAAGCGUUAAUCGGAAUUACUGGGCGUAAAGCGCACGCAGGCGGUUUGUUAAGUCAGAUGUGAAAUCCCCGAGCUUAACUUGGGAACUGCAUUUGAAACUGGCAAGCUAGAGUCUUGUAGAGGGGGGUAGAAUUCCAGGUGUAGCGGUGAAAUGCGUAGAGAUCUGGAGGAAUACCGGUGGCGAAGGCGGCCCCCUGGACAAAGACUGACGCUCACGUGCGAAAGCGUGGGGAGCAAACAGGAUUAGAUACCCUGGUAGUCCACGCUGUAAACGAUGUCGACUUGGAGGUUGUGCCCUUGAGGCGUGGCUUCCGGAGCUAACGCGUUAAGUCGACCGCCUGGGGAGUACGGCCGCAAGGUUAAAACUCAAAUGAAUUGACUGGGGCCCGCACAAGCGGUGGAGCAUGUGGUUUAAUUCGAUGCACGCGAGACCUUACUACUCUUGACAUCCACAGAACUUUCCAGAGAUGGAUUGGUGCCUUCGGGAACUGGUGAGACAGGUGCUGCAUGGCCU
rnacentral:rRNA from 1 species